rnacentral:rRNA from 1 species
AUUGAACGCUGGCGGCGUGGCUAAAGCAUGCAAGUCGUACGGGGCCGCAAGGCCCAGUGGCGGACGGGUUAGUAAUACGAUCGAACGUAGCCUGAGGUGGAGGAUAGCGGCGGGAAACCGCCGGUAAUACUCCAUGAUCUCUCCGGAGCAAAGGGCAACCGCCUUUGGAUCGGCGAUCGUCCUAUCAGCUAGUUGGCGGGGUAGCGGCCCACCAAGGCGAUGACGGGUAGCAGGUGUGAGAGCACGACCUGCAACAUCGGGACUGAGACACUGCCCGGACUCCUACGGGAGGCUGCAGCGACGAAUCUUCCGCAAUGGGCGCAAGCCUGACGGAGCGACGCCGCGUGUGGGAUGAAGCGUCUUCGACGUGUAAACCACUGUCAGAGGACAGAAACACUGAUUGUCCUCAGAGGAAAGGGGCGACUAACUCUGUGCCAGCAGUCGCGGUAAGACAGAGGCCCCGAGCGUAAUCGAUACUGGCUAAGGGU